UACGUAGGCAGCGAGCGUUGUUCGGAGUUACUGGGCGUAAAGAGUGCGUAGGCGGUUUUCUAAGUUUGGGGUGAAAUCUCCCGGCUCAACUGGGAGGGUGCGCUGAAAACUGGGGUGCUUGAGGGUGGGAGAGGUAAGCGGAAUUCCUGGUGUAGCGGUGAAAUGCGCAGAUAUCAGGAGGAACGCCGGUGGCGAAGGCGGGUCUCUGGGCCGAUACUGACGCUGAGGCACGAAAGCGUGGGGAGCAAACAGG
rnacentral:rRNA from 1 species